rnacentral:lncRNA from 10 species
GAAGGUGAACGGCGGGCAGCAGUGUAUGCUGAAGUGUUCGGAGUACUUCUGGUUUUUGGAGAGUCUGGGACCCUCCUUGGCCGGUUUCUGACUCAUCUCACUGGAAAUCGCCGAUGCAAGGAGACAGGAGGAGACAUAAACGCACAUCAGGAAAGGGAGCCCUCUACUCUGGAAGCCCCCUGCUACUCCCAUAAUCCAAGACAUACCAUUGAACAAAAGAAGUCAGACACAAGAAAACAAGCUGUGUGUACAGGAGGUUCAAGAACAGGCAAAACUAAUCGAUGGUGCUAGAAAUCAGAGCAUAGUUAUAUUUGGAGAAGGUGGGUUCCGACUCAGAAGGGGCAACAGGGGAGCUUGCUGGAGACUGAAAACAGUCCUUCUAGGAAUGUGACAGAUGCAGAAAUAGUCCUACCUAACACUGCAAAACACCGAAGCCCACAGGGGACUUACGUGACUAUCAAUCAACAGGAAUCAACUUAGUUAAUGGGCAUAAACUGGAUACUGAGAAUGUCUCUGCUCUCAACAAACUCAGGGUCAGGUUGGAGAUGCAUAUGUGCAGUAUGUAAUUACAAAACACUGUUAUGUUGGCCAAUACAAGUGUGUACAAAGCAUGGAAAAAGGAUGGAUUCCUUGAAGACAGAACCUAUAAUCUGGGUUUUUAAGGAUGAGUACAGAACAAUAACUAAAUAACUUUGAGGGGAUAUUUUAAUUUUUUUGUCUGUUGGUGUGGUUGUCUUCUACUACAAAUAGAAAUGACAGCUGAGAAGCAGGUAGAAUGCAGUUACAAAUACGUUGUUUUUGCACCUCUGUUUGUGAUCAUCAAAAUUGUGUGUCACAUCUGUUAUGUAUGUUAAAAAUAUUCUUUCCCAAUGUUUCACUUGAUUUUAUCAUGCAAAAAUAGUUUUAUGUAAUUAAGUAUCUUAGAUCUUAUUAAAGGUUUUGUAUUUUUCCCAGAAAGUUUUCCCCAUUCUGUCAGCUUUUAACAUACUCAUGAUGCCCCAUUUUAAAAGAAAAUCCUCUCUGGAUCCUGCUCCCGUGUCUUUUUGCUUCCCUAUUACCCUCCUCUUUUGUAUAGGUAAAGUUCUUGAAAAGGUAUUAAUAUUUUUUCCCUCCAUCUUUACAUCUUCCACUCACUCACUCAUCAGUGCACCCCACUGUGGCUCCUGGCCCUUUCCUCCCAAGGAAAAAUGACUCUACAUAGCUCCCCACAGACCUCCAUGCUGCUAAACCAAUUGCCUUCAUAUUUGGUCUCUCUCCAUCUAAAGUCUUUCCUUUCCUGUGACACCACAUUCUCCUAGAUCUCCUCCUCUAUCUCUAGUCUCUCCUUGUCCAUUUCCCUUAUAGGCUCAUCUGCUUUUGGCAAAUCUUUCAUUUUUUUAACACUAAACUUUUAAUGUUAGAGUUAUUUAAGGUGUAAUAAAUACUAAAUAAUAAAUGAAGUUACCUUCACCCAUUUAAUUUAACAUUUACUAUACACUUUGGUUUUGCCUGGCACAGUGCUCAGUUCACAUACUGGACACAAAGCUAAAUCAUGCUGAGUCCAGUCCUCAAGAAACUUAUCCACCAGUGGGAGAUACAGGCAAGUAAGUGAUUAGAAUGCACAUAAUGUGCUAAUGGCCAGAAAAACUUCAUUUACUGAGACCAAAUAAGUACAAGUCACUGAGAUGAGGA